rnacentral:rRNA from 1 species
GGAAAUCUCACCAGGCCCGGACACUGGAAGGAUUGACAGAUUGAUACCUCUUUCUUGAUUCUGUGGGUGGUGGUGCAUGGCCGUUCUUAGUUGGUGGAGUGAUUUGUCUGGUUAAUUCCGAUAACGAAUGAGACUCUGUCCUGCUAAAUAGUGUCUGCUUCUCUUUUGAGCAGACAAUUCUUCUUAGAGGGACAGGCGACUCUUGAGCAAUAACAGGUCUGUGAUGCCCACUUCUUAGAGGGACUAUCGGAUUCAAACCGAUGGAAGUGUGAGGCAAUAA